rnacentral:rRNA from 1 species
AUCUUCCACAAUGGGCGAAAGCCUGAUGGAGCAACGCCUCGCGAGUGAAUAAGGUUUUCGGAUCGUAAAACUCUGCUGUAAGGGAAGAACAAGUACAUUAGUAAUCGUCUGUACCUUGACGGUACCUUAUUAUAAAGCCAUGGCUAACUACGUGCCAGCAGCCGCGGUAAUACUUAGGUGGAAAGCGUUGUCCGGAAUUAUUGGGCGUAAAGCGCGGGCAGGAGGUCGUUUGAGUCUGAUGUGAAAGCCCACGGCUCAACCAUGAGGGUCAUUGGAAACUGGGGGACUUGAGAGCAGAAGAGAAAAGUGGAAUUACAAGUGUAGCGGUGAAAUGAAUAGAGAUUUGGAGGAACACCAGUGGCGAAGGAGACUUUCUGGUCUGUAACAGACGCUGAGGCGCGAAAGCGUGGGGAGCAAACA